CCGGGGGCGGGAGCAGAGAGACAAGGAAAUGCGGUCACCGCCGUUAACACGCACGUGGAGCUUGGUUAAAGGAGAACAGGAGGCCUAAGGUAGAGCUUGUCCCUAACUCAGGGGCCGACACCAUGUAACCACAGCCCGCUGAACUGUCACAGAUGUCACCUGACAAGCCCAGGCUGAUGACUCGGUGGAUGCUCCACAGCUUCUUCUCCAGGGGAUCUGCGGCCUGCUCUUCCACCACUGGGCAAUGCACUUCUGCUGACACCACCGCCAGGAGAAGCCUGUUUGCCUGCCCAUUGCGGUGGUCAGUGCCAUCAAGGUACCAGGUGGACUUUCUUAGAGCUGUGUGAGGGGCCACUGCUCUAAGGAAAAGCUGUUUGCUAGGAGCUGCAGGUGGCCGGUGACAAAGCAAACAGCAAGGGAAUGGAUAGCUCAAAACAAGUCUCACCACUGCUGAACAGAACAGUGAUCCCGGCUGUGUCCUUUUGAGGGAAGACCUGGGUUUGAGUCCUGCCUCCAUCGAUCUCGAGAUACGGGACCUCAUGGAAGGGAGGAGAGGCAUUGCUGAGGAUGUGCACCUGAGCAGGUAUCGCCUCAGUUCUUUACCUGUAAGUCAUUACUACCCUGGACUCAAACUGUGUGGACACCAGGCUGGGCUCUGAGUGAUUCUUCAGUUAGGAGGUCAAAGCAGAAUCCCCAAAGCAAGCUACAGACUGCUGGCGCUCAGCGUUGGACCUUUUCAGUUUGGUUUCAUUUUCCUCCCCAGCUGGCUCUUGAAAUCCUCCCCUAGAUCUCAACCCAAUGUUUGUAAGUAUCUCUCCUAGUGUCACUCAGAGCUUUAUGGCCCCUGGGCUGCAGCCUUGGGCAACCAAAGCAGAGACCAAUCUCCCUGUCACUGCGGAAUUAUCUCCUGGGAUUAACCACGAAAGGGUAAAGAGAGGCAUUUCCAGUUGAUGUUUGGAAAUGAAAAGUGGUUAAGAAGAGACAGCGUAGAUACAUAUAACUGCAAGACUAUGAUCAAAGUCACUUUAGAACCUCAUUAAUUUGGAACCUUAUAUUUAAAAUGUGUAAUUUGGACAUAAAUUGUACUUAACUUUUCCUUCAUACUAUUCAUGUACGAAGACUGCAGAGGGACUCUGUUAGGCAGAGUUAUGGAAUUGGUUUAUACUACUUUGGCCAUUUUAACGCUACCAUUUGCUUUUGUCAGCAAUUUACAUCUGGCCACUGAAACCCACAUUUAGCAACAUGGUAAAUAGGAUGACUGCAUAUUCUUGAAAAGAAAAAGCUGCAUUUCUUUCAGUUAUAUCAUACAGACUUUUCAUUAAUUCAGGUUGGCUAAAACUUUCCCAACAGUCCCAAGGCCGGUAAAGUUUUACAGUGAUUAACUAUCCAAGCAACAGUACUUCUCUUAGGUUCAAAGGAAAACUCCCAAGGGCAUCAAACAAGGCUUGGAAAUGGCACAGGGGGACCUGAUGGGACCAUACCCGACUUUCCUUCCCCCACAUUGGAAGCCAAUUUAAUCCCAAGACUGGCAGAAAAGCAUUCCCCGUGUCCAACGGACUCUUGAUGUACUGAUCAUGUCUCUACCUCCUGUCCCCUCCAGCACAACAUUCUCUUUCUCCUUCCUUGGCCAAACUUGAUGGAAAAGGUGCCAGUACUCUGCUGUCUCCUCUCUUCUUCCCCACAUGCUCAUUUUCCAGAGGCAUUAGGAUGUCCACCCCAGCGCUCUGCUGACGCUGCUCCUGCCCAGGUCCCCCAUGACCUCCCUGCUGCUAAAUCCAACUCACUCCGACUCCCUCCUCCUUGAAAUUCCCAUGGACUUUCUCCCACUUCUGCCACCUCUCCCCGUUAUGGCCCUUCUUCCGUUGCCACCCCUUAAAUACUGAUGCUCCCAACAGCUGUCUUCUCUCCUCACCCAGCACCCUCUCCCUGGGU